rnacentral:rRNA from 1 species
GACGAACGCUGGCGGCGUGCUUAACACAUGCCAGUCGAACGGAAAGGCCCUGCUUUUGUGGGGUGCUCGAGUGGCGAACGGGUGAGUAACACGUGAGUAACCUGCCCGUGACUUUGGGAUAACUUCAGGAAACUGGGGCUAAUACCGGAUAGGAGCUCCUGCUGCAUGGUGGGGGUUGGAAAGUUUCGGCGGUUGGGGAUGGACUCGCGGCUUAUCAGCUUGUUGGUGGGGUAGUGUCUUACCAAGGCUUUGACGGGUAGCCGGCCUGAGAGGGUGACCGGCCCCAUUGGGACUGAGAUACGGCCCAGACUCCUACGGGAGGCAGCAGUGGGGAAUAUUGCACAAUGGGCGGAAGCCUGAUGCAGCAACGCCGCGUGCUGGAUGACGGCCUUCGGGUUGUAAACCGCUUUCGCCUGUGACGAAGCGUGAGUGGCGGUAAUGGGUAAAGAAGCACCGGCUAACUACGUG